rnacentral:rRNA from 1 species
UAGCAAAUCAAUAAGCGGAGGAAAAGAAACCAACAGGGAUUGCCCUAGUAACGGCGAGUGAAGCGGCAACAGCUCAAAUUUGAAAUCUGGCUCUUUUAGAGUCCGAGUUGUAAUUUGCAGAGGGCGCUUUGGCUUUGGCAGCGGUCCAAGUUCCUUGGAACAGGACGUCACAGAGGGUGAGAAUCCCGUACGUGGUCGCUGGCUAUUGCCGUGUAAAGCCCCUUCGACGAGUCGAGUUGUUUGGGAAUGCAGCUCUAAAUGGGAGGUACAUUUCUUCUAAAGCUAAAUAUUGGCCAGAGACCGAUAGCGCACAAGUAGAGUGAUCGAAAGAUGAAAAGCACUUUGGAAAGAGAGUCAAACAGCACGUGAAAUUGUUGAAAGGGAAGCGCUUGCAGCCAGACUUGCUUACAGUUGCUCAUCCGGGUUUCUACCCGGUGCACUCUUCUGUAGGCAGGCCAGCAUCAGUUUGGGCGGUAGGAUAAAGGUCUCUGUCACGUACCUCCUUUCGGGGAGGCCUUAUAGGGGAGACGACAUACUACCAGCCUGGACUGAGGUCCGCGCAUCUGCUAGGAUGCUGGCGUAAUGGCUGUAAGCGGCCCGUCUUGAAACACGGACCAAGGAGUCUAACAUCUAUGCGAGUGUUUGGGUGUCAAGCCCGAGCGCGUAAUGAAAGUGAACGGAGGUGGGAACCCGCAAGGGUGCACCAUCGACCGAUCCUGAUGUCUUCGGAAGGAUUUGAGUAAGAGCAUGGCUGUUGGGACCCGAAAGAUGGUGAACUAUGCUUGAAUAGGGUGAAGCCAGAGGAAACUCUGGUGGAGGCUCGCAGCGGUUCUGACGUGCAAAUCGAUCGUCAAAUUUGGGCAUAGGGGCGAAAGACUAAUCGAAAUUUUUGUAACUGGUUCCGCCAA